CGUUUCAACGAUGAUGAUCUAAUCAUCCAUGUUCUCAAUGGUCUAGGUACUGAUUAUAAGGAACUUUGUGCAACAAUUCAAGUGAAAGUUACCUUGAUUUCCUUUAAAGAACUUUAUGAUAAGUGAUUGAAU